ACUCAAAGGAAUAGACGGGGGCCCGCACAAGCGGCGGAGCAUGUGGAUUAAUUCGAUGCAACGCGAAGAACCUUACCUGGGUUUGACAUGCACCAGACGCAGUCAGAGAUGGCUGUUCCCUUGUGGUUGGUGUGCAGGUGGUGCAUGGCUGUCGUCAGCUCGUGUCGUGAGAUGUUGGGUUAAGUCCCGCAACGAGCGCAACCCUCGUUCCAUGUUGCCAGCGCGUGAUGGCGGGGACUCAUGGGAGACUGCCGGGGUCAACUCGGAGGAAGGUGGGGAUGACGUCAAGUCAUCAUGCCCCUUAUGUCCAGGGCUUCACACAUGCUACAAUGGCAGGUACAGAGGGCUGCGAGACCGCAAGGUGGAGCGAAUCCCUUAAAGCUUGUCUCAGUUCGGAUUGGGGUCUGCAACUCGACCCCAUGAAGUCGGAGUCGCUAGUAAUCGCAGAUCAGCAACGCUGCGGUGAAUACGUUCCCGGGCCUUGCACACACCGCCCGU
rnacentral:rRNA from 1 species